rnacentral:misc_RNA from 1 species
AAUAACAAAGAGUGAUAUAAUUAUAAGGUUACUAAGAUCAUUAUUAGGAAAAGGAGAAUCACCAUUAUCAAGAACCCUAACAGGUUCACAUAGCAUGGUGCCACCAACUUGAGAAUCAACUCUGCAUUAUAAUGUUGAUUCAGGCAAUAGAAUACCAUACAACAUAUCAUGAAAACAACCCUCUAAACAAAGUGCUAAUAUAGCCAUUUACAAAUUCAGUCUUUUCACCAUCCAUGUUCUCUCUCUUUCAAAUUUUGAAACUUACCUCACCUCAAUAGCUAUGCUGCUGGACUCUGGUGCUGCUUUCUAGUUCUACUCUCUCUUGCUGUUGAUUUUUGUUGUCUGGGGAAAAUCUUGAUUAUGCUGUGCUGCCUUUAACCCCUGCUGCUGGAUUUGUAGUGUAGUUCAUGCACUAUCCGUUUAUCACUUCAACAUCCACCCCACACGGCUGAAAUCUAGUCUUUUGUAUCAUCCUGCAACGACUCAAAGCUUCCAGUCUCUCACUGCCAUCGGCCACUACUCGUGAAUCAAAAACUCACCGGAACUCCUCAAGAGGUUUUGAAUUUUGGAAUUUGAUGCGAGCACAUUUCAACUCCUUCACACCAUCCACCCACCUCAAGUUUGUAUACCUGGUCAAUCGAGCUGGCUGCUCAUCAUCAUCGUCAUCCACCUUUUUGUCAUCCUGUAUAGUCUGCGAAGCUGGGGCACCUCUAGAACAUUGUUCACAAGUACAAAGCGCCUCCUGGCUACGGAAGAAUGUUAUGUUGGACUGGUCAAGAAAACCUUGUUUUAUAACUCCCAACAAGUUCCUUGAUGAGGUGAUGACUAAACUAUCAGGCUGGAAUUUUCAUUUCACUCAGAAAUGCAUGGUUUCUGCUCCCCAGUAUCCUCUGUUGAUUUAUCAUCAGAACUUUGGUUUUGAAGGCCAGCAGUCUUAACCUCCUGAAGUGACUCCUCGGGAAUGAUUAUCUGUGAUGAUCCGCCUGACCGACUAGAAACACUUGCGGGCGAAACAGAUCCUAUAUUUUGAGGACUAAUAGAAGCACGUUUCGGCAGUUUGUCGGACUCUACAUCAACUGUAUGGGUUUCCUGCUUCCUCUUUGAACGCCUUCCUUCAGAAGACAUGCAACCUUUGGCAUCUUUCUCGGGAGUAUGCUGAGUUGUAUUUCUAGAUUGACGUGGUCUCUUAUACCCAUCAGGAAAGACAUAAGCAGGAAUUUCCCUCCUAGGAACAUGCGAGAUAUAGAUAUCCAUGCCCGGUCUCCAAUAAGAGUACAUGUUUACCUCUUGCUUAAACUCAUCGACUGUUCCGCGGAUAUCAAACCGUUGACCUUCUUGUACUUUGACACCCUUUUGCCUCUGCAAACCCAUGAAAAAAACACAAUGCGGGCAUGGCUUUGACAUGUCCGCAAAUUCAUUAGGAUAAGGAUGGCACUGCAACGUCCCAUUGGUGUCCCGCUCUAUCUUUAGCGUGAGUUGUCGAAGCCGUGAUUCCACCCAGCCUUUCCAAGCUAGCAAAUCAUCAUUAUCUGCUGCUACGAUUUCAACCUGGAGAUAGUUUUUGUACGCCUCAAAGAAAAAAUAAUGCUCAAAAAGAGCAGGCCACUGUGAUUUAUUCAACUCCACAUCCUCAGAAAUCUUGUUACCAAUCUGAAAUUGGUCCAUCAUUACUCG